CCUACGGGCGGCAGCAGUGGGGAAUAUUGGACAAUGGGGGGAACCCUGAUCCAGCGACGCCGCGUGAGUGAAGAAGUAUCUCGGUAUGGAAAGCUCUAUCAGCAGGGAAGAAAAUGACGGUACCUGACUAAGAAGCCCCGGCUAACUACGUGCCAGCAUCCGCGGUAAUACGGAGGGGGCAAGCGUUAUCCGGAUUUACUGGGGGUAAAGGGGGCGUAGACGGGGCAGCAAGUCUGAUGGGAAAGGUCGGGGCCCAACCCCGGGACUGCAUUGGAAACUGUUGAACUGGAGUACAGGAGAGGUAAGCGGAAGUCCUAGUGUAGCGGUGAAAUGCGUAGAUAUUAGGAGGAACACCAGUGGCGAAGGCGGCUUACUGGACUGUAACUGACGUUGAGGCUCGAAAGCGUGGGGAGCAAACAGGAUUAGAUACCCUUGUAGUC
rnacentral:rRNA from 1 species